rnacentral:rRNA from 1 species
AGUGAACGCUGGCGGCAGGCCUAACACAUGCAAGUCGAACGGCAGCACAGGAGAGCUUGCUCUCUGGGUGGCGAGUGGCGGACGGGUGAGGAAUGCGUCGGAAUCUGCCUAUUUGUGGGGGAUAACGUAGGGAAACUUACGCUAAUACCGCAUACGACCUACGGGUGAAAGUGGGGGACCGCAAGGCCUCACGCAGAUAGAUGAGCCGACGCCGGAUUAGCUAGUUGGCGGGGUAAAGGCCCACCAAGGCGGCGAUCCGUAGCUGGUCUGAGAGGAUGAUCAGCCACACUGGAACUGAGACACGGUCCAGACCCCUACGGGAGGCAGCAGUGGGGAAUAUUGGACAAUGGGCGCAAGCCUGAUCCAGCCAUGCCGCGUGUGUGAAGAAGGCCUUCGGGUUGUAAAGCACUUUUGUCCGGAAAGAAAAGCAUCCGGUUAAUAACCGGGUGUCAUGACGGUACCGGAAGAAUAAGCACCGGCUAACUUCGUGCCAGCAGCCGCCGUAAAAC